UUUUCAUUUGAGGGUUUGGCCAUUUCUAUUGCCGUCCAGCGGCCUCUCCUGCCCCAUUCAAGAAUGGAUCAAUGUAGCCUUCAGGCUGCUUCUUCUGAACAAUACGUCAUUCUUGAGACACCUCCUUUUUUGAUUCCUAAACGGAGAAAUGAAGGAUAUUUUCACAUUCAUUGCGGUGCUGUCGGAUUGAUACUCACAUUACAUGAAAGACGUGAGUUACCUGUUACUGUCAGAGUCUCACUAAUUAACAUAAAAUUUUUACAGUAUGAACAUGCUGUAAUUGGCACUUGUCUCGUGACUCUUCAUGCUGGAAGUGUAAUGCUUAUCUUCUUUCUAAACUACAACAUGUCCCUCAGAGAUCCAAUCUAUGGGGCCAUCUGAAGUGGAGUGAAGUGGUCCGAGUGAAGUGUAUGUGACUUCUUGAGAAUUCGAGGCAAAAUUAUAAUUAUUGAUUUCACAAAGAUGAUUGCCAAGUUAUCUGCGAAGUGGUCCCAUGAGAGCUUUGUUGGUGAUGGUAAUAGUGUAUGUUCUCCAUUCAUAGUGAGAAUUUUGAGACCAAAUGGGAUUGGUGACUACAUCAUCAGUGUUUUUGUAAAUAUAAGCUCUGGGAGGAGCUU